GAUGAACGCUGGCGGCGUGCCUAAUACAUGCAAGUCGAGCGAACAGAUGAGGAGCUUGCUCCUCUGACGUUAGCGGCGGACGGGUGAGUAACACGUGGAUAACCUACCUAUAAGACUGGGAUAACUUCGGGAAACCGGAGCUAAUACCGGAUAAUAUAUUGAACCGCAUGGUUCAAUAGUGAAAGACGGUUUUGCUGUCACUUAUAGAUGGAUCCGCGCCGCAUUAGCUAGUUGGUAAGGUAACGGCGUACCAAGGCAACGAUGCGUAGCCGACCUGAGAGGGUGAUAGGCCACACGGGAACUGAGACACGGUCCAGACUCCUACGGGAGGCAGCAGUAGGGAAUCUUCCGCAAUGGGCGAAAGCCUGACGGAGCAGCGCCGCGUGAGUGAUGAAGGUCUUCGGAUCGUAAAACUCUGUUAUUAGGGAAGAACAAAUGUUUAAGUAACUAUGCACGUCUUGACGGUACCUAAUCAGAAAGCCACGGCUAACUACGUG
rnacentral:rRNA from 1 species